AUUGAACGCUGGCGGCAGGCCUAACACAUGCAAGUCGAACGGUAACAGGAAGAAGCUUGCUUCUUUGCUGACGAGUGGCGGACGGGUGAGUAAUGUCUGGGAAACUGCCUGAUGGAGGGGGAUAACUACUGGAAACGGUAGCUAAUACCGCAUAACGUCGCAAGACCAAAGAGGGGGAUCUUCGGGCCUCUUGCCAUCGGAUGUGCCCAGAUGGGAUUAGCUAGUAGGUGGGGUAACGGCUCACCUAGGCGACGAUCCCUAGCUGGUCUGAGAGGAUGACCAGCCACACUGGAACUGAGACACGUUCCAGACUCCUACGGGAGGCAGCAGUGGGGAAUAUUGCACAAUGGGCGCAAGCCUGAUGCAGCCAUGCCGCGUGUAUGAAGAAGACCUUCGGGUUGUAAAGUACUUUCAGCGGGGAGGAAGGGAGUAAAGUUAAUACCUUUGCUCAUUGACGUUACCCGCAGAAGAAGCACCGGCUAACUCCGUG
rnacentral:rRNA from 1 species